UACAGAGGGUGCGAGCGUUGUCCGGAAUCACUGGGCGUAAAGGGCGCGUAGGCGGCCUGAUAAGUCGGGGGUGAAAUCCUGUGGCUUAACCACAGGGCUGCCUCCGAGACUGUCGGGCUCGAGCACAGUAGAGGCAGGUGGAGUUCCCGGUGUAGCGGUGGAAUGCGUAGAGAUCGGGAAGAACAUCGGUGGCGAAGGCGGCCUGCUGGGCUGUUGCUGACGCUGAGGCGCGACAGCGUGGGAGGAACAGG
rnacentral:rRNA from 1 species